GCAGGAAGAAGCUUGCUUCUUUGCUGACGAGUGGCGGACGGGUGAGUAAUGCUUGGGAAUCUGGCUUAUGGAGGGGGGUAACUACGGGAAACUGUAGCUAAUACCGCGUAGUAUCGAGAGAUGAAAGACUGGGACCGCAAGGCCAGUUGCCAUAAGAUGAGCCCAAGUGGGAUUAGGUAGUUGGUGGGGUAAAGGCCUACCAAGCCGACGAUCUCUAGCUGGUC
rnacentral:rRNA from 1 species